UUCGUAGGCGGUGCGGCAAGUUGGGAGUGAAAUCUCUGGGCUUAACUCAGAGGCUGCUUCCAAAACUGCCGUGCUCGAGUGUGGGAGAGGCGCGUGGAAUUGCAGGUGUAGCGGUGAAAUGCGUAGAUAUCUGCAGGAACACCCGUGGCGAAAGCGGCGCGCUGGACCACAACUGACGCUGAGGAACGAAAGCUAGGGGAGCAAACAGGAUUAGAUACCCUGGUAGUCCUAGCCCUAAACGAUCAGGACUUGGGGUGCCGCCCGUUCGGGCGUCGUCCCGGAGCUAACGCGUUAAGUCCUGCACCUGGGAGUACGGUCGCAAGACUGAA
rnacentral:rRNA from 1 species